rnacentral:rRNA from 1 species
CUACGGGGCGCUCCAGUGGGGAAUAUUGGACAAUGGGGGAAACCCUGAUCCAGCAAUGCCGCGUGUGUGAAGAAGGCCUGCGGGUUGUAAAGCACUUUCGGUUGGGAGGACUGCUUCUAGCACUAAUAUUGUUGGAAGUUGACGCUACCUUCAGAAGAAGCACCGGCUAACUCCGUGCCAGCAGCCGCGGUAAUACGGAGGGUGGCAAGCGUUAAUCGGAAUUACUGGGCGUAAAGCGCGCGUAGGCGGCUAGAUCAGUCGGGUGUGAAAGCCCCGGGCUUAACCUGGGAACUGCAUCCGAUACUGUCUAGCUUGAGUACAGGAGGGGAGAGUGGAAUUCCACAUGUAGCGGUGAAAUGCGUAGAUAUGUGGAGGAACACCAAUGGCGAAGGCACCUCUCUGGCCUGAUACUGACGCUGAGGUGCGAAAGCGUGGGGAGCAAACAGGAUUAGAUACCCGAGUAGUC